GACGAACGCUGGCGGCGUGCCUAAUACAUGCAAGUCGAGCGAAUGGAUUAAGAGCUUGCUCUUAUGAAGUUAGCGGCGGACGGGUGAGUAACACGUGGGUAACCUGCCCAUAAGACUGGGAUAACUCCGGGAAACCGGGGCUAAUACCGGAUAACAUUUCGAACCGCGUGGUUCGAAAUUGAAAGGCGGCUUCGGCUGUCACUUAUGGAUGGACCCGCGUCGCAUUAGGUAGUUGGUGAGGUAACGGCUCACCAAGGCAACGAUGCGUAGCCGACCUGAGAGGGUGGUCGGCCACACUGGGACUGAGACACGGCCCAGACUCCUACGGGAGGCAGCAGUAGGGAAUCUUCCGCAAUGGACGAAAGUCUGACGGAGCAACGCCGCGUGAGUGAUGAAGGCUUUCGGGUCGUAAAACUCUGUUGUUAGGGAAGAACAAGUGCUAGUCGAAUAAGCUGGCACCUUGACGGUACCUAACCAGAAAGCCACGGCUAACUACGUGCCAGCCGCCGCGGUAA
rnacentral:rRNA from 1 species